GAGCAGCCCCCGCCCGGGGCUCGCCGGCCCGGCCCAGGCUCGCCCUCCCCGCGGUUGCCGCUUUCCCCGCUUGGGUCUGCGCUGGGCUCGCCGCCUUUGUUAGUUUCCCGGGCGGACAGAGUCCAGAAGAUCAGAUCAGACUUCUCUGCCUUGUGGGUUAGUGAGACCCCUAACAACUGGCCGUAAUGAAGAAAGAGAAAAGUGCAUGGGGGUCCACCUUCUCCUGGCAGCACCACUGUCUUACAUGCAGGCCAGGCUGCAGUUCUGGAGAAUUAACCACAUCCCAGGAGCAACUCUGGAAUCCCGACUGAAAGGAGUUGCUAUAUAAACACCUCAGCUGCCCAGACCCAGAGAAGGUGACUCAGAGAUGCAUAUUCCGUAUCAUUUUCAGAGUUCCCCAGCUGGGGUGGUCCACCAGGGUAAUUUGUUUCAUGAUUGACCUUUUACUGGCCCUUCUUCUUCUUGGUUUCAUGUCCACACUCCUUGACUGUGGUUUCCAGGGAUCAUCUCCCAGACAAACUGCUUACUCAAAUUCCUAUCUCAGGGUCUGCUUCCAUGAAAGGCCAAACUAAGCCAUGGUUAUUCUCACCUGGUCUUCCAUUCUUGACACCAGCGUCUUGAAUAAAUAAUCAGUAGGAUUUUAUCCCACUCAUUAUGAUUUAAAACAACUUGAAGGAGUCUUUAAUUUCAAAUUUUAUAAAGAUCACGAAAAGAUUAGCGGAUAUGACUUAGCCCACAGCAUAGGAUCACAACUGCAUGUGACUCCUGAUUACUAACUCAAACAUUACAAUAUACCAUGUAUUAGAGACUUUAACACAGUCGGAAAGCUGAUGUGAAAUUUCCCAUUUCCUGCUCACUAAAGAUUAGGAACACUCCUGGCAGAAGAUGACUAGAAGAACUAACUCUAUUUUGAUUGUGUCUGUCUUUCUCUUCCAGCAUUGACAGAUUCUGCCAAGCUUACUUGGAAAUAUUCUGUGUCAUGAUGGUCCCCAAUGAGGUAGGCUUGCCCAUGCGUCAAGAGCUUCAUUCUAAUUGUAUGGCAAAUACUCUCAGUCUCUGCUUAUGGCUAGUUCAAAAUCAGUUCUCAGUACAAAGUUGUCCUUACAUUCUGAAAACGUUGCUCCUGAUGAGGGUUUUCUCCAGCUAGCCUCUCAUGAGCUCCUCAUAUUACCAGUGAGAGCUUUUUUCUGUUUGCAGAGCUCAGUGCUCUCCCGGUGCAUCCUCAUUUUGAAAAGGAAAGGGGAGCCCUCAUGUGUCUACUCCCUUUGGCAGGAAGAACGACUUCCAGAUGGUGUCUUACUUUGAACUGCAAGCCGAAACUGACACCUGUAAUACUCGCUAUCGCAUCAGCCCAGAAGUUUUACUGCUUUACUGUUUAAUUCUAGUCAUGUGAUGACACACUGAUUAAUGACUUGGAUUUUCUUCUUUAACUGUCCUUGAAUGACAGGCACUUCCAAAGUUGAAAGACAUAGAGAGAGACCCAUCUCAGUUACAGUUAAACUUGAACCUGUGGGAACACAUGUCAAAGCACAUUAGAAACAAGAAAGCUGCCUGGUCCUUCUGCCAUUAAUUCCUGCUACAAAUGACUGUGCUUGGCAGACCAUCUUCACAGCAUAAACCACCCCUGAACAUCGAUGCUCGGCCCAGAUUUAUAGUUCUAAGUUGCAAUUAUAUCUUUUAAUUCACUUGGUUUUCAAAAUAACCAUAGAGGUAUCUAAAGUAAGUGACUCACUCAGCUAGUCUGUGGCUGUUAUCUCUUUUUCUGCCCCAUAGCCAUUGCUUACUAUCAACAAAACACAUGUAACCUAUAUUAAGGCAAGUAGCAAUUUGCCUUAACUAAUUAGCUGCUGUAACAAACAAAUUCUAAAUCUUAGUGACUUUAUGCAAUAAAAUUUAUCUUUCCCUCACAUAAACAUUCCUAGUUGGUGGGGAAAGAUUACCCAUCAAGCAUGAUCAUCUGCUGACUCAGCUCCUCCUUCCUCCCAUUCAGUGAAUUGAAGAGGAAAGGGUGAGAGAAUUUAGGUUUGCAUGUAGGAGGUUUUUAAUGGCCGGACUCAAAAAGAGUACAUCAUUCUUGGCUUAUUCUUUGGCCCAUGCUCUUCCAUACAGCCACACCCAACUGCAAGGGAGGCUGGAAAAUGUGAUCUAGCUCUGGGACCAAGAAGAAAAAGAAGAGAAUUUGGAUGGCACUCUGUCAAAUGUGAGAGGCUGCUUCUAAACUCCUCAUUUCAUCCUGUAAUCUCUACCAAGAAUACACUCUCUCCUCUGUGCACUCCCCUUCUCUAGAGAGUGUUCAUCCAUCCUGGUAGCUGAGCUCAGGUGUUGCCUCCUCCGUUGAUGUGCUUAUUCCCAUCCUGAAUUUGUGUAAGGUGUCCCAGUUUUUUUUUUGUUUUCCCAGUUUUAAUUAUCCUCUGUUAUUGAAUUACAAAAGCUCUACUAACACUUCCUAUCUUUGAAUAGUGCAUAAUAAUGACCGCACAUAUUUGUUGAGCUACUAAACAAUGGCACCCACCUUUCCUGCUAUGUUCCCUAGUGGCACCAACAUGGCAAUCCCCCAACAGGUGCUGAGCUGACUUCAUAAGAAUCACCUGCAGAGUCUGCUAUACCUACUCUAGUCCCUCAGCGCCAACCCCAAGGAAUCAGGUCUCCUUCCUUCCACUUCAAAGUAGAGUGCACCACCCAACCUCACUGAUCUUGGGCUCAGCCAGUCAUGUGAUAUGCUUUGACCAAUGGAACGUGGGCAGAAGGUGGGUAAGUUUGAAACAGGGGUUUUAAGGGGCAUCACAUGUUUUUGUUCACCUUAUGCUUCUGCCAUCUGCCAUGAAAAGAGUGGCCCCAGGUGGUUGCUGUUCCUUCCUUGUAUGCUAGAAUGAGAGGCAUGAGGAGCAGAUCUGAACCUGGUCCAGCCCAGCCCAGCUGAGUCACAUCCAACUUGUACACCUGUGAGCAAGAAAUGAAUGUUUGUAAGCCACUGAGCUUUUUAGUAGUGUUUGUUACACAGCAUUACUGAAACCAAAGCUAACUACUACACCUUCCCACCCUGAUUCUUUUAUAAUUGGUCAGGGUAGGACCUAGGCAUCUGUAUUUUUUCGAUGUUCAGCCGCCUCAAAGGAAACUAUGAUACACAUAUGUCCCCUGUUCAAUAGGAGGAAAAACCUAAUAUUUAAGCCCAUGGGACAUAUCAUCCAUUUCCCCAAUCACAUUCCAGGGCAUAUGACUUUAGGUAGACUCCCAGCAGAUCUCCAGUGGCAGUUCAUCAUGAGCCCUGCUGCAGGGGCACUGGGAGGCAGGAGAAGCCUGGACGUGAGUACUGACGUGAGUACUUUCAACCUCAAGGUGGGUGGUAGUGCUGCAGGAGCCUCUUCAGCAUGCAAGUUGGUCUACUUUUUUCUUUCAACCAGAAUUCAUUGUUUCAUCUCAUUAUUAAUAUUUAAAAUGAACCACAUUACCAAAUUUUAUAUGAUCAGUUUAUUCUCUCUAAUCAUUAGGUAAUGUAAUUUAAAGGUAAAAUAAUUAUAUUCUGCAUAUAGUCUGUAGGAAUGAGAGACAAGGUUAACUCUGAAUACUAUACUUACUCUUUCCUAUAUCUAAAAGGAUUUCUUUUCCUACAUGUCUGGCAUGUAGGAUGUUAUUGAUGGCUAUUUUUAAAAGUAUUUCAAAGUGCUUUAGGGAAUAUAUUGGCAAAAAAUAUUGC